CAAAACAUAGCUUAACCAAAAGCAUUCAGCUUACACCUGAAAGAUUGUCCAUUAAAACAGGACUAUUUUGA